GAUGAACGCUGGCGGCGUGCCUAAUACAUGCAAGUCGAGCGAACGGACGAGAAGCUUGCUUCUCUGAUGUUAGCGGCAGACGGGUGAGUAACACGUGGAUAACCUACCUAUAAGACUGGGAUAACUUCGGGAAACCGGAGCUAAUACCGGAUAAUAUUUUGAACCGCAUGGUUCAAAAGUGAAAGACGGUCUUGCUGUCACUUAUAGAUGGAUCCGCGCUGCAUUAGCUAGUUGGUAAGGUAACGGCUUACCAAGGCAACGAUGCAUAGCCGACCUGAGAGGGUGAUCGGCCACACUGGAACUGAGACACGGUCCAGACUCCUACGGGAGGCAGCAGUAGGGAAUCUUCCGCAAUGGGCGAAAGCCUGACGGAGCAACGCCGCGUGAGUGAUGAAGGUCUUCGGAUCGUAAAACUCUGUUAUUAGGGAAGAACAUAUGUGUAAGUAACUGUGCACAUCUUGACGGUACCUAAUCAGAAAGCCACGGCUAACUACGU
rnacentral:rRNA from 1 species